CUGCGGCUGAGGAAUAAUCAAGGCAGCUGAGAGGAUAUGCUUAAAGCCAUAUUUGCAUUUCCUGGAGUCAGGGUUUGCUGUGCUGGAUCAGUCCCUUGGCAUAAAUUAGAUUAGCCUACAGGUGCUUUAAAUUUGUGCUGGCAGCUAAAUUGUAGUCUCAAACUGACAAUUCAUGUAACAGCAAUGUGUAGGGAUCCUCCUGGUGCCCAGGCCACAGAAAGAGUGGAAUGGUAUAGAAGCUGCUACUGCACCUCUCUGCCUCCACUGGAUCCCUUCUGCAGGGUGAAUUCAUCAGUUGCUAGAAUGAAAAAGACACCAGCAUACCUGUGCCUAAAGCAGAGGUGGCUGUCUCCAGGAGCAGUUGCAAACAUCUGGCAACUAGAUGCUAAAAACAAGGGGGAGAGCCAGGACCAUGAAACUAAUCAGCUCCUUGUGGACCAAUGCUUUGCAGACCACUAGUGGUUCACACUGGAACAAGACAAUGUUAUUAGUACCUCACUUUCAUAACUAA